ACCUCAUCCAGGUUCAGCUGCAACCACUUCAUUCUGCGGCUGAGUCCCUGACAAUGAGCCUGGCCGCUUUGCUGCUGGUGCUGGCUCCAGGUGCGUUGGCCCAAUACACGGUGACCCAGGAGCCGUCCCAGGCCGCUGCCCACGAAGGAGAACCCAUCCAGCUCAACUGCUCCUACACGGGCAGCGAGGACAGCGUGCAUUGGUACCGCCAGCCCCAGGGGGGCCAGCCGCGGUUCCUGGCGCUCCUGUCCUCUAGCCGCAGAGACACCCGAGAGAAUUUCACCAUGAGCCUGGACACCAAAACCAAAAGCAGCUUCUUGUACCUGAACAGCAGCCGCCUGGAAGACUCUGCUGUGUAUCUGUGCGCGCUGGAGCACAGUGCCAGGUGAGCACAGGCAGCCCGUCACAAAACCCUGGGUGGGGGCAGGGCACA